rnacentral:rRNA from 1 species
UACGGAGGGUGCAAGCGUUAUCCGGAUUCACUGGGCUUAAAGGGUGCGUAGGUGGGCAGGUAAGUCAGUGGUGAAAUCUCCGGGCUUAACCCGGAAACUGCCAUUGAUACUAUCUGUCUUGAAUACCGUGGAGGUGAGCGGAAUAUGUCAUGUAGCGGUGAAAUGCUUAGAUAUGACAUAGAACACCAAUUGCGAAGGCAGCUCACUACACGAAUAUUGACACUGAGGCACGGAAGCGUGGGGACCAAACAGG